rnacentral:tRNA from 1 species
ACCUAGCUGGCUGAGUCAGUACAGCAUGGGAUUCUUGAUCUCAAAGUCAUGAGUUCAAACCCCAGUUUGGGCA